AAAUCGGUCAGUUUUCUAUCAUCAUUGAGAUGUUGGAACUCCAGGGAAGCUGUAAAAUUAGAAUUUUUACAAGCCUUAAGAAAUAUACUCACUCUGGUUGGGCUUGAAAGUGUAACAAGAGGUUAAAAUAGAAGUUCUAGCUGAAGCACAAAGAAAGUAGAAACAACACAUCAAAGUGAGGGAUUUAUAAAGCAGGAGACUGAAAACCAGCUGGUGACUCUUGAAUUCCUCACCCUUAUUGAGAGUAUAAAAGGCUUAUAGCCCUCACCCUUUCACCUCAAAUCAAGAGGGAAGGGUUUUAGAAACACAACUUGGAGAGCUUAAUAUGUAUCCCUGAAGUUUGAGGAAAGGGGACGUAGUGUACUGACUUCUGCCUGGAAAGUCUAACAGGUGGGAGAUUAAUUGACUGCAAUGAAGGAGAAAGCCAAUGACAGGUUGCUUCUUGACUGGAAUUGUUCAGCACUCCAGAGGCUGUCAGGGAAAGGAUGUGAGCAUGCUGCCUGGAAUCUGAUGUGGCUCAGCUGUAGGACAAAGAUAGUGUGUUUUCUUAAGUUCUGACCAAAUGAACCACCUUAAGAGACAAAGAUCACUCAGCAAGGAAAGCUGAAGAUGCUAUGAGAUGCCAGAGGUUGGGGAAGGAGCAAACAACCAGCUGGAAUGGAUAUGCCUUUUCUCAAAGAAAAUUGCAAGUGGAAGAAUUCCAGCCAUGGGGUCUCCAAAGCAUCCGUGAAACUGUUCCACAAGACAAGGAUGGAUGACUGAAUGCCAAACCCAGAGAGCAGUGAAGCUAAAUCAACUCAAUCAUUUCAGUGAAGAAAGAAAUCUCCUGUCCUUUCCUGUCCCUGAACUCCAUGAUGAAGGGCCAUGUGCUGUAGGUAGCAAAACAGGGGAGAAAGAAUUUCAGUUUUCCUUUUCCCUUGAAAUUUUCUAGCUAAAUCAGUCCGAAAUGUGGAAGGAAAAAGCAUGAAGUUUUUUAUUUUUAUUUUUUGAGACUGAGUCUUGCUCUGUUGCCCAGGCUGGAGUGCAGUGGUGUGGUCUUGGCUCACUGCAACCUCCUCUUCUCGAGUUCAAAUGAUUCUCCUGCCUCUGCCUCCCGAGUAGCUGGAAUUACAGCCGUGCACCACCAUGCCCAGCUAAUUUUUAUAUUUUUAGUAGAAACAGGUUUCACCAUGUUGGCCAGGCUGGUAAUGAACUCCUGACUUCAGGUGUCUGCCAGCCUUGGCCUCCCAAAGUGCUGGAAUUACAGGCAUGAGCCACCACACCUGGCCACAUGAAAGCAUGAAAUUUAAUGCAGAUAGAUUUACCUAUCAUAUAAAAAUGGAAAACCGAAUUACUAAGUGGAACUGAUAUUUUGUGAUCCAGGAAUGACCAUGUCUGAACUUUCAUUUGAGGGGAAAAAGGAUAAUUAACACCAUUGAACAAAUUUAAAGGGAGAAUGGAAGACAAAGUAAAGUUGUUUUAUGUUUACAUACAGCUGUGCUAUUAAGAAAAGCUACCGAUUUUUAUUUUUUGUCUCGUACAAAUUUUUCUCAUUAAAGUUAUACAACCAACAAAAAUAGAUUUGUAUCUUCUUUUCUACUAUGAGUAUUGAUUAUUUUUAUCUCAUUGCAUUUGCUUGGACCUUCUCAAGAAUAUGGCAAAUAAUAAUAGUUAUACUAGGCAUCCUUGUCAAGUUCUGAUUUUAAUUGAAGAGGUUUUAGUGUUUCACCACUAGGAAUACUAUGUGCUUUUGGUUUCAAACUAGGCUUUAUUAAAUUUUAGUAUUUUAUUCCAGUUUUUAGUUUCUGUUUUCUAAUUUUCUUAUAAACAAUAAAACAAUUAUGUCUGUUGAAUUUGAUUGGAUGUCUUAUUUGUAACUAUCUGAUGACAUUUUAGUAUUGAUUAAUCAAAAAAUAUUUUCCUUUAGUUUAUUUUUUGAUUUUGCAUUAUGUUGAUAAAUUUCCUAGUAUUGAAUAACCUUGGUAUUCUUAGAACAUUCCUAACUUAGUAAUAAUAUAUAUUUUGGUACAUUGUUUGAUUAUAUUUGCUAAUAUUUACCUUUUUCUCCCCCCUACAGGCAUUUAGUGAAAUUGGUCCAUAGUUUUAUUUUCUUCUGCUAAUGCUAUGCUGAGUUAAUAAAAUGAAUUGAGAAGCACUCACCUUUUUCUGUGGUCUGGAAUAAGUAACACUGAAAUAAUCUGUUCUUAAUACAUACGAUGAAAUACUUACAAAUGUGCAUUAUUGUGGUGACUUUUAAAAUAGUACAUGUUUAAUUACCUUUGAAGAUGCUAACGUAGCAAUUAAAAAUGUUUUUUCAUUUAUGAGUCAAUUUGAAUAAUUAUGGUUUUCUAGAAUAACAUUCAUUUUCUCCAAGUUUCAAAGUUUGUUUGCAAUGGACAUGCAUAUUUUAUUCUCUAAGAAAAAAAUUUCUCAUUUAUCUAUGAUUAUGCCACAUUCUCAUUUCUAAU
rnacentral:lncRNA from 1 species